rnacentral:rRNA from 1 species
AUGCGUCUUCUUGCUCCAGCAUUCAAGUUCCAUUUCAAGGGAGGACGACGUACCAUGAUACUUUCUGUUUUGUCGAGCCCUGCUUUGGUCUCUGGUUUGAUGGUUGUACGUGCUAAAAAUCCGGUACAUUCUGUUUUGUUUCCCAUCCUAAUCUUUUAAGACACUUCUGGUUUACUUAUUUUGUUAGGUCUCAACUUCUUUGCUAUGAUCUCCCCUGUAGUUCAUAUAGGAGCUACUGCCAUUUCAUUCCUAUUCGUGGUUAUGAUGUUCAAUAUUCAAAUCAUUCAAAGCAUAAAGAGAUUUUUCUAA